GAUGCUGGUCAUCCGCCUGAGGCCCUGCAGCACAGCCCCACCGGUGUCGGAGGGUCCUCGCGGCACAUGGGGUCAGUGGGAACAUGCUGUGGACUCGCCAGCCUGAUGCAGUGUCUUGGCUCUGCUGCUUUAGUGAAUUUGGGUUAAAUUCUCACCCUCCCAGAGCCCCAGUUUCAGUUGAAAAGGACUGGCUCAUACCUACCCUCAUCACUGCUGAGAACAUUAGGGGAAAUGGUGAAAAACAUGCACCUGAUUUGGGGUCUGGCCUGUUGGCAUUACUCAAUAAGGGACAGCAUGUCCCUGGGCAUUUAAUGGUCUCUGAACACCCACGUAGUGCCUACUAGCCGGGUAAUGAUUUCCAUGCAGGUAUGACCCAGAUACUACAAAAACAUCGAAUGAUACAAAAGUACUGUUAGUUUAUUCAGAUGGCUUGUGUCCUUUUCCCUGUGUCCUCCCCAGGGCACCCAGAACAGCGUCCUGGGCGAUUGGAGGGACUGUCCCGUUUGUUCUGGGGGUGGUUCAGAAGCGCGGAGCCUACAACAGCAGAGAGCGCGGUCUGCCCUGAAUACAGCUUCAAAAGGCUGUUCGGUGAACGCAGUGGCAUGAAGUCAGAAAAAAAUGAUUUUCUUUCUACGAAGACAGGCACGCUGUUUCGGGAAGACGGCAUGACAGUAGUAUCGAUUCCUGUAACAGCCCUGUGGUUUCUGAGAGCUCAGGAUUGCACCUCAAGGUGACUGUCGGAAGGACUGUUUGGCUGCGCUGCGGUGGGCCCGCCCGAGAGCCCCAGGGCAGCUCUGAGUUCAUGCACUUGGCAUUACUGAGCAAGAGCGGGAACCCAGGGAGAUGAGCAGCUACUAUGUGAUUUCAAAAAGGAACAGACCUGUGCUGCCAAAUGCGAUCAUGGCCUCACUUCUUCCUACGCGACACCAUGAAAACACGGCCCGUUUGCCACAGCGGAGGCACAGAGCCUGGUUGGACCACUUGUUUGGCCAAUCGGAAGACCAUAAACACAUGUAACUCUGCGAUGUGGAUUGCCAUGCAAGCGUCAUCGCCGGUAAUGCUGACCUGGGGCUCGGACGCUGGCCCACAGGCCAUGAGGACUGGACCCCCGGGACCUGCGCCUCAUUCCCUUCACUGGGCAGAGGCAGCUGUCCCCACCUGAUGUCCUGCAGGGGGGAAAUAGGCACAGGCUGGUCUGAUAACAUGGCCCCUUCGUGGAAAUGGGAAAUAAGGUGGGAUUUAGCCUCAGUUGGCCAGUUAAGAGUCCUGCUGCGUCCGGCUCCAAGAUGCUCAUUAGACCUCCGGGGUCUGCAGGGAGAGGCAGGCACCUGGCUGAAGGGACCACAAGGAGUCCCUUGCAGCCUCAGCGAUACCACUGUCCUCCUCUGUUUUACCAGCUUCACACCCACAACACUCUACAGGUGAGGACACGGCGCCCACCGGGCGGGACACUCCUUCCUGCUGGCUAAGGUGCCUCGCCCGCACGCCUGCCAAGUGCCAUACACCCAGCACACCAGGUUCUCAGGGUGCUGGGCCAUCUUCCCUUUCCUCGUCAAGGGAGACGCUUCCCCAGAAGGUUGUUUCCUAGACACGGGAGGUGUGUGGCUGGCCUGCAGUAACCUGUGUCCUGGCAGGUGAAGGCCCAGGACGCCUGCCCCAUGUGGUGGGGACAAGAUCACAUAACACCUAGCGGGGGGACCUGCAUACAGAAGGCACGUAGAAGCUGUUCAGCAGCAACCUUUGCUGCAUCCAUGGCUUUUAAAAACAUACGUGUGUUUCAUGUCUAAAGAGAUGUUCUUCCAGUGUCUGAACAAUUGGUAUUAGAACUAGACCAGAUGAGAUCUUUGCCUUCAAAUUAUGACUUAGCACAAAUCAGAAAGUGCACUAUUUUGCCAGCAAUACUCUUGCUGGGAGUGUAACCAUGUCUCUAUUGAGUCGAUGUCAUUUGACCUUUGUGGAGGCAUUGAUUCAUUUCUGCAUAAAUGAAUCAGAUACCAAGAUCUGUCUCCUUAGGUAACAUUAAGGAAUCACAGUGCAUUUCCCCUCCUACUUACUUCUAGUUUGUUUUUGUCUGAAAGAUUGAAAAUAAGCACCAGUGAGAGUCAGGGCGAGAAAAGGCCUUUCCCCUGGCCGCACAUGCGGCUCCUGGGUCUGUAAGGGCAGAGUUCAGAGGGGCCGGUCCAGGGGGACACGGGUCCUGCCUCCACUUCGGUCUCUGAUAUACACAGGCCUCCAAACUCCGAGAGCUCAUGCCUGGCCUGCGGGGGGCAAGGGAUGGCUGAGGGGUCAGCUGAGGGGUCGGUGAGCUGACCAGUCGCAGACCCGGCACCCCUUCUUCAGUGAAGCUAGGACAUCACCCUGAACUGACGGGAAGACUGAGCAACUCAUCAGGGCCACCGCAUCUCCGUGUGCCGUAUGUGACGUGGAUGAAAAUAGACUGAACUGGAAGCAACCUUCCUUAUGACCCUGCAGAAUCAUGUAACUGUUCUGGUAGCCAUUUAUUGAAAAGAUUAGCACCUAAGUAGGGCUGAUGACUUGUGAGAUUCACACAGAGGCCAAGCAAACUGACUUUUGCAUCUGAUACUCUACUUUGAAAUGAUAGGCUGGCCUUUGCAAUCUUGCUUAUCUUUGAUAGCAAAUAAAGA